CCCGCCGCCUCUGCUCCCCGCGGCCCGGGACCCCUCACACGCCUCCUCGGCAGGAGGGAGGCCGGCAGCAAGUCUCAGAAACUCCUUUUUCGUAGUGCCAGGGUGCAGGGAGUGAUCCUCCUCCCUACCUCUCCCAUUAUGGUAGAAAAAAACUCUGUGUCCUGGCUACAUCAAAAUCUGUUGGGGUGGAUCUUGGACUCAGCACCCAGGGAUUCUGAUAAGUUGUCCAGUGUACAGAAGCUUACUGGAAGGAGUGGCCAACUAGUUAAAGGUUUGACACCUCAAUAUCAACAAAAUGCCAAGUGGAUCAUUUUGACUCUCACAGCAAUCCAACUGGACAUUUGACCAUGCCCCGUGGUCAGUGGAGAGCUUCUUCUCUGAAGGCCACUUUUAUCUAGCACAUCAAGGCUAUACACCUCUUUCACUAAGAAGAAUUUGGCACUUUUAUGUUGUGAGAGCUGAGAUUCACCAUUCUCCACCAUCCUGAGAAGAGCUUUGAUAGAAGGGCUACUCCUGAGCGGCCAUGCCUGGGAUAUGAACUCAGCUGUUUUGAGUGAGAAGGGGCAUCCUACCAGUGUGAGUUAACACUUCUCUGUACUCUCCCCGGUUCCUCAUUUUGUUCCUGCUGAGUUCAGAGCGAUG
rnacentral:lncRNA from 1 species